UACGUAGGGGGCAAGCGUUAUCCGGAUUUACUGGGUGUAAAGGGAGCGCAGACGGCAGUGCAAGUCUGGAGUGAAAGCCCGGGGCCCAACCCCGGGACUGCUCUGGAAACUGUACGGCUAGAGUACGGGAGGGGCAGGCGGAAUUCCUAGUGUAGCGGUGAAAUGCGUAGAUAUUAGGAGGAACACCAGUGGCGAAGGCGGUCUGCUGGACAGCAACUGACGCUGAGGCGCGAAAGCGUGGGGAGCAAACAGG
rnacentral:rRNA from 1 species